UAUGUGGAUACGUUGAAGAGUUACGUGUAACUUGGUAUCGUCCACAGCCUGCAAAGCCUCACUAAACUUUCUGAAACAUUGAAAGAAGUGAAAAAUCACGGCGUUGAGCUAUAACGUUUAGUAGGUUCAUUCUUGAAAAAGGUAAGCUCG
rnacentral:ncRNA from 1 species